CUACGGGUCGCUGCAGUGGGGAAUAUUGCGCAAUGGGGGAAACCCUGACGCAGCGACGCCUCGUGAGUGAUGAAGGCUUUCGGGUUGUAAAACUCUGUCAGUUGGGAAGAAACAGGGAAUGGCUAAUAUCCAUUCUUUUUGACGGUACCAGCAAAGGAAGCACCGGCUAACUACGUGCCAGCAGCCGCGGUAAUACGUAGGGUGCAAGCGUUGUUCGGAAUCACUGGGCGUAAAGUGUGUGUAGGCGGUUACCUAAGUCUAAUGUGAAAUCCGCUGGCUUAACCAGCGAACUGCAUUAGAACUGGAUGACUAGAGUUCGGCAGGGGAAGGUGGAAUUCCUGGUGUAGAGGUGAAAUUCGUAGAUAUCAGGAGGAAUACCAGUGGCGAAGGCGACCUUCUGGACCGACACUGACGCUGAGACACGAAAGCGUGGGUAGCAAACAGGAUUAGAUACCCGUGUAGUC
rnacentral:rRNA from 1 species